GUGCACGCUGGCGGUAGGCCUAACCCAUGCAAGCCGUACGGCAGCACAGUAAGAGCUUGCUCUUACGGGCGGCGAGUGGCGGACGGGUGAGGAAUACAUCGGAAUCUACUUUUUCGUGGGGGAUAACGUAGGGAAACUUACGCUAAUACCGCAUACGACCUACGGGUGAAAGCAGGGGUUCUUCCGACCUUGCGCGAGUGAAUGAGCCGAUGUCGGAUUAGCUUGUUGGCGGGGUAAAGGCCCACCAAGGCGCCGAUCCGUAGCUGGUCUGAGAGGAUGAUCAGCCACACUGGAACUGAAACACGGUCCAGACUCCUACGGGAGGCAGCAGUGGGGAAUAUUGGACGAUGGGCGCAAGCCUGAUCAAGCCAUACCGCGUGGGUGAAGAAGGCCUUCGGGUUAUAAAGCCCUUUUGUUGGGAAAGAAAAGCAGCAGGUUAAUACCCCGCUGUUCUGACGGUACCCAAAGAAUAAGCACCGGCUAACUUCGUG
rnacentral:rRNA from 1 species